rnacentral:lncRNA from 1 species
AUAUAAUAUUUCAAUUUGUCAGUAUUAAGUUUUCAUAUUAUCCCACUAUACCUUAAAUGCCCUUAGCUCAAAUGAACUAACCCAAAUUUUGGUGGAGGGUUGUUCCUCUCUUCCAAAGACUUGUAACUCAAGGAAAUCUCAAGCAGAGCCUAAAGACGUAGGACCUUUAUCAUGCUUCCUGGCUGACUGAAAGGUAAUUUUAUAUUUAUUUGGUUGGUUUUUGUUUCCUCCCAACCACCCCCCCCACAUAUAUAUCCUAGUAAUUACCUGUGUUUACACACGGGCACUACAAAAAAAAAAAUAAUUUUUUUUUAUCCAAUUUUGAUGAUUCUUCUAGAAGAAUAAAAAUAAAAAUAAAUAAAUAAAAAACAAUAACAAAAAGGUAGCUCUCAGUAAGUAACUUUCUCAGAAAAAACAACUAAUCUUAAACUAACUAAUCUAAUAUAAAACACAUAAGAGAACUUGUAUUUUCCACCCCUGAACAUCCCAAACCCCUCGAUUGUGACUUUUUUGGGACUUUUAAUUUGUACCUUCAAUCUCCUCAAAUUACAAUUGUGACAUUUCAACCAUUUUAUUUUUUAAUACCCUUUAUUUUUUUUAUUUUACUUUUAUACAUGAAUUUUUAUUACAAAAAAAAUUAUGAUUAAACUUUAUAACUUCUUUAUUUUUUUUCUUUUAAUACCCCAGUGAUUUUUGUUUUUUCUUUUACUUCAUUUUUAAAUUUUUAUAACCCUUUAGUUUAUAAUUUUUUUUACUCUCACCUUAUGUGUUUUUUAUAAUAAAAAAAACUAUGGAUUAAAAAUAAAAUUUUUAUAUAUUUUUAAAAAUUUGAUGGGGUUGAUAGUUAUAUGUUUUUGUUAUUUGAGGACUAUCUAGAAAAUUAAUAAGGUAUUUUUAGUAGUUUGAUUUACAUAAAAACACAUUAGAAAAUUAAUAAUUUUUAAGUAUCAAUACAGUAAGUAGUAAAUUCAAACAUUGCAUUAAAUUCAGAACAUAAUUUUCAUUAAUAUCUCAUUCCAAAAGAAAAUAAUUUUUUUAUAAUUUUUUUUAUAUAAAAAUUCAGAAUGAAAGUAAAAAAAUAAAGUAAAAGAAAUAAGGGGUAUUUAAUAGAAAAAGGAAAAAUAAAGGGGUUAUAAAAUUUUAUAUAAAAAAUUCGAAAGUGAAAAUAAAAAAAAUAAAAUAAAGGGAUAUUACAAAAAGUAUUAAAAUCAUUGAAUAUGAAAGUGAUUCGGAGGAGAGAGGGGAGAAGAGAGAGUGAGAGUUAUGAUGGAGAGAGAAGGAAAAGUGAUGGGCUGAGAGCGCGUGUGAAGUAAUAUGUUUGGGCGGGGAAAAAAAAUACAUUUGAGGUUGAAAUGUAAGCGUUAGAUCAACUCAAAUUGAUUGCAGCCGCGUAGAUUAGCGAGGAGAUAGAUUUGGAUUCAAACGUAGUUUGUGGAUUUGUAUUUUAUACUAGUAUUGCCCGUGCCACGGGGCACUAUGCAAAAAAAAAUUAAAAAUCUCUUUUUAUCAAUUUUGAUGAUUGUUCAUCACAGAAGACACCAAAAUAAAAAUAAAAAGAAAAGAAAAUAAAAAACAAGCACAAAUAAGGUAAGGGGCAGGAACUUCGCAGAACACUUUAAAAAAAGUAAGUCUAAACUAAUUAAUAUAAUCUAAAACUAAAUAUAAGAAAGCUUUAUUGUUUUUUUGUGUGUUGUUUCCUUAUCCUGUAUCUCACCCCAUCGAUGUGACAUUUUUUUUUUGUACUUUUAAUUUUUACCUAAAUUCUUUCUCAAAUUAUUAAUGUGCCAUUAAACCAUUUUAUUAUUUUUUUAAUACCCUUUAUUUUUUUUUAAUACCAUUUUAUUUCUUUUUUUUUUUUACUUUCACUUCUUCAUUUUAUAUAUAAAAAUUAUGAUUAAAUUUUUGAAUCCUUUAUUUUUUUUCUUUUAAGAACCCCUUAUUCUUGUUUUUUUUUUUUUUACUUUCACUUCUAAUUUUAUUAAAAAAAUUAUAAUAAAAUUUUAUAAUUUUUUUACUCCCACCUUAUGUUUUUUAUAAAAGAAAAAAAAUAUGGAUCAAAAUUUUUAAUACUUUUUAAAACAAUUGAUAGUUGAUAGUUAUCUGUUAUUUGUUUUUGAGACUAGCCUUGAAAGUAAAAUGUUUUUUUUAGUUUUUUAGUAGUUUGAUUUAUUAUAAAAUAUAUAAGAAAAAUAUAACUUUAACGUUUCAGUAUUAAAUUCAAUAUUACCACAAUAAGAAUAUAUUUCUCAUUAAUAUCUCCUCCCAAAAGAAAAUUAUAAUUUUUUUUUUAAAUUUUUUUUAAUAUAAAAUUCAAAAGAAAAUAAAAAAAAUAAAAGAAUUAUGGGUAUUAAAAGAAUAAGAAAUAAGGGUUAUAAAAUUUUAAUAAAAAAAUAUAUAAAAAAAUUUAAAAGUGAAAGUAAAAGAAUAAAGAGAUAUUAAAAAAUAUAAAGGGGUUGAAUUGAAAGUGAUGGGAAGAGAGAGAAGAGAGUUAUGAUGGAGAGAGCAGUGAAAGUGAUGGGAGGAAAGAGAGUGAAAGUGUAUUUUGGGCGAGAAAAAAUAAUUGAGGUAAAACUUGAGCCGUUAGAUCAACUCAAAUUGUGUUUCGCCGUAGAUAACGAGAGAUAAUUUUGAUUCAAACGUAGUUGUGAUUUGUAUUCUAUAUAUAAUAUAUAAUAUAUAUAUAUAUAUUAUAUUAUGUUUAGUUGCAUAUAUUUUAAAUUAUAAUUAUAUUUUUUAUGUCUAUGAGUGUUGCAUCUUAAAUCUCCUAUUAAUAAUAGGCUAAUAGCUUUCCUAAGUGUUAUCUCCAAAUCUAACUUAUGAGGAGUUGGUUUUUAAAGAUAAAAUUUUCAUGGAUCAAGUCCUCUUUAACAAAUUUUCUUUUUCACUUGUCCAAAGCUUAAAGUAAUCACGAUGCUUUCUAUUUUAGAAUUAGUCAAUAAUAUUAUACUAUGGAUAUUCUCAAUGACGAAAAGGAUCCACGGAACUUUAGAAUAAUUGGAUAAGGUAACUGGAUGCGGUGAAAAUCUCACAACAAAGAAUAGUAAUUCUUUGAUCCAAACUCUAUCUAUACCUUAAUUCCCCAAUCAACAUAUUCAUUGAACAACUCUUACGAUAACACUAUUCCAAAGUAAAAUAUAUGUAUAGAGAAAAUCUCACACGCAAAGUCUCUAUUGGCAAUCACUAUAUCCUUCAAGAAGAAGUAUUCUAUGAUAUUUUUUUUUGUAAAUACCAUAAUGUUUGGAACCAAAUUAAUAUUAUGAUUACCAUGAAAAUCAAUGAUAGUUAGUCUACUUGCUAGUAAACCUCCUAAAUACUCAAUUUUUAGAUCCGCCGUAAAACCGCCAUUCACAUUUCUCAAAACAAUGGCGACUGGUGAAAGAACUAUUUCUUUAGUAGUUUUAUUAAUUUUUUAGUCUCAUUUUAUCACAUGCAAUUUAGAGCCAAAAUUAGCAAUUUCAUCCACAAUAGGCUACUAAUCACCACUCGUAUAGGCACAUUGAGUAAAAACUGUAUCAUUUUGAAUACCCUUAAUUUUUAAAAUAUAUGCAUAGGUUUAUAAUGAUAUGAUUAAUCCACUAUUUGUAUCCCCUAGCUUAUAGCAUUGAUACCCAACCUGUUUAAUUUGCACACCAGCUAAUCUAAUGCCCGCAACUCAUCCACUAUCCACAAUUAGCCCACAACUAGAAAAAACCCUGAAUCAAAUAACGAUAAACCCAAUUAAAUAUUAUAAUUUUUAGAGGCUUGACAAACGAGACAAAAGAAGAAUUAAGGUAAUCAAGCAAACGUCAAUCUCUUUCUCUCACCCCACCCCACCCCACCCCCCCCCAAAAAAGUAAUGAUAACUAAAAGGACCUUGGACAAUCAGGUCAAUCCUCUCAUUUUUCAUUUAAGUAUAAAAUCAGAUAAUGAAUUCUUUUUUUUACUUUUUUGGAGGGAGGUGGGUCCCAUUGUGAUGAACAGCAGUCAUUACACAAUAGAAACACAAUUAAAAUUUUUUUGUAGAGCGGAUGAAAUACGUUGUCCAUUUGAAAAUAAAAAAUAUUUGCCAUGAGAUUAAGUCUGAGUCGGGAGGCCACCCUUUUGUCCUUUAAUAAAACAUCUAAAAAGUUUGCAAAUAGUCAAAUGGUCUGCAGACAGAAUACAUGUAAAAUUUAUAUAUUCCACUCUAUAGCCUCUUAAAACCUAACAAUCUCAAUAGGCAUCAUUUGGUUUUAGAAAUUCUUCAUUUUGCAUCUAAUCAAACUUCAAAUUAUGCUAAUUUUUCAUGUUACAAAUUCACAGUUGUAGCACAGCUGUCCGCACAACCUGUUUGUGAUUUUGGGCAAGUGCCUUUAUUGGUUCCAUUUCUAAACACAUCAUUAUGCCAAAAUUUUCUCGAAGAAGUUGAAAAAAAACCUGAUAAGAAAGCUCUGAAUUGGGAAACGAAGGAUGAUAUUGAUGUACAACUUGAACGAGAAAAUCCACAUAAAACUCCAACCAAAGAAUGCGAAGACUGGAUAAAGAAUGUGUGAGAUGAAAAAAUAUACCGAUCAUAACGUCAGAGUUCAAAAUGGAGAAGAAAUGCCUCAGAGUAUUAAUGUCCUGAUAUUUUUGCACGUAUGAAGCUUUGUGAACGAGUGGUAAAUAUGAUCUGUGAGGUUGAAGACCUCUAAGAAGUCUAAAUUUGAAAAUGGCUUUCCUCACUGCAUUCACACCCCAACCACUUAAAAUUGAGAAGAAGCUAGUUCCAGAGUCCACUCACAGCUUCAGCCUCUAAUACAUUGGAGAAGGUACUAGAUAAAUUUCGAGAUGCGACCACUCCAAAGAUUGGGAUUUGGGGAAUGGCGGAAUGGCAAGACAACUGUUAUGCAGCUCUUGAAUACUACACCAGAAAUUCACAACAAUGUUUGUAUUUGUGUGUUCAUAUGGUGACCGUCUCAAAAACUUGGAACAUUAGAAAGAGACAAGAGGAAUUUUGGAAGCGUUUUAUCAAUAGAUACAACUACCGAGUCAGGAGAGAG